GUCCACGCCCUAACGAUGGAUACUAAGUGUCGGCGGGUUACCGCCGGUGCCGCAGCUAACGCAUUAAGUAUCCCGCCUGGGGAGUACGGCCGCAAGGUUGAACUCAAAGGAAUUGACGGGGCCCGCACAAGCGGUGGAGCAUGUGGUUCAAUUCGACGCAACGCGAAGAACCUUACCCAGGCUGGACAAGCAGGUAGUAAGAACCUGAAAGGGCAAUGAGGUAGCAAUACCAUCCUGCUCAGGUGCUGCAUGGCUGUCGU
rnacentral:rRNA from 1 species